UGCAGGACUCAGCGGUGCGGAUGGCCCUGGAU
rnacentral:piRNA from 1 species